GUCCACGCCGUAAACGAUGUCAACUAGCCGUUGGAGACCUUAGAGUCUUUAGUGGCGCAGCUAACGCACUAAGUUGACCGCCUGGGGAGUACGGCCGCAAGGUUAAAACUCAAAUGAAUUGACGGGGCCCGCACAAGCGGUGGAGCAUGUGGUUUAAUUCGAUGCAACGCGAAGAACCUUACCGCCCCUUGACAUCCUGGGAACUCGCUAGAGAUAGCUUGGUGCCGAAAGGAACCCAGAGACAGGUGCUGCAUGGCUGUCGU
rnacentral:rRNA from 1 species